rnacentral:lncRNA from 1 species
GCUGUAAAAUUUUAAAAAUAUAUGCUUUAAACUUCUAUUUUUCUUUAAUAUUUUAGAUUGGGGCUAUCAAGAUUUUAGGUCUCAUGACUGGCAUGAUCUCAUCAUGAUCCUAAAAUCAUUAACCUAAUAUAUGGAGUUUAUCAUAAUCAUAUAAAUAUGAUGCAGUAAAUAAUAAAAUAUAAUACCUCAUAUAAAUAAAAUAAUUAAUAUCAUGCAAAUGAGCAGGA